GCUUGAACCUGGGAGGCAGAGGCUGCAGUGAGCUGAGAUUGCACCACUGCAUUCCAGCCUGGGCAACAGAGCGAGACUGCAUCUCAAAAAAUAAAUAAUAAAUAAAUAAAUAAACAAAAUAAAAUAAAAUAAAGACAAUGAUCCAAAGCAAAGCAUGCCACCUCAUGAGCAUGUGCUAAUCCUUGGGUGGGAAUACGGCUUUUGUUACGUUGCCCUUUGUAGCUUUCUCUUUUGUGUUUCAGAGCUAGAUAUUCACACUAUACAGAGAUCCCCCUGAAACUCCAUAGCAGAUUCUAGAAUACAUGGAGGCUUUGGGAAAGACAGUGGAAAGCCAAGGAAGCCAGAGAGCUCCAGGCACACACAGCACAAGAGGGAGGCGGACCACCAGAUCAUGAGGUCUCCACCGGUGCCUCAGCAGCCAAGCACUGCCUGGCCUGAAAGGAAUGUGCUCUAUGCCCUCACUUCCACCAGCUCCAGGCUCCCUCCCCAAAUAAUCAAAAGUCAGGCUCUGCUCUGCCUCCUUUUCCAGAUGUCUCUGUGGAUGAAAUGCAAUCCCACAGAGUGGUGUCAUCCAGCUCUCAGGCAGUUUCCCAGAGGUGACUCAUCUGUCAUCUCAACAAGCGCGUGAGGGGCACAAGACGAGGACUGUCACCCCAUUGAGAGACGGGGAGCCAGAGACUCACAGAAGUCCCAAGAACUGCCUGAGCUGACUCAACAGCCGGAAACUAGGACAGUCACAAAGUCAGUCUGACUUCCAAAUUUAAAUGAGAUUCAGGGCUUACUAUGCAUCAUGUUCAGAGAGGGGAGAUGGACAACUGGCCAGUUUUACCUCCCAGAUCAUCUCACUUUCACAAUAACAGGCUUCCCAAAGGAGCAAGCGAAAGCCCAGAGAGGCCAAGUGUCCUCCCUUAGCUCACAGAGCCAGAAAGCCUCAGGGAUUUUCUAACAUGCCUCAACAACCUCCCCAGAGCAUUUCUCCAUCAGGAAAACUAUUUUCAUUAUGGGUAUCCUUAUUUUCCCUGCAGACGCAACAGGAAGCUUCUGGGGCCCCCCAGUGAGCAGAAAGCUGAGAGCUGGGGGCCAGCCAGUGUUUAUUUGUUUAUGCCAUCAUCUCCCACUGAACCCAGUCCCAAGCUACUGAGUGACUCAGAGACCUGACCACCAACAGCUGUUCUUCGGUUGGAGCCAGAUAAGUCAACGGGGGGUGGGGGUGUCCAUUGCACUUCCCAGUAAUCAGGUGGGACACACUCUUUCUGUCCAGUACCCCCACCCCUUGUGGAGUGAUAAAGGGUGACAGACAGAUGAGAGGGAAAGACCCCCAUCCCCAGCAACUGCACUGGAAAUCCAGCUAUCAGCGUGUGGCCACUAUUUUAACAAGGCUACAAGACAGAGAGAGAGGGAAGAAGCCCCCACGCCACCGCCUCACCCCCACCACAGGGAAAUAAUCUGCCUCCUGGGAAGGUGAGAGGGAAGAGAGCCACCAGGGCCACUGGAAUACAGGUUCCAGCCAAGGCCACCCUGAGGCCCAGAGUCUCAGCAAUGGGCCAUGGUUGGCUCCAGUCUAGUGUGGCCCAUCAAUUAUGGUGACUUCACUGCCUCAGUCUGGUCUCCAGCAUGAUAAGCAAAGGCGCUUCCCUGCCUAGCUUGGUCUCCAAAGCCUUUUCCCUGAAGGUUCCCUGAGCCAGAAACAGAAUGUAUCUUGAGGCUUUACCGUCCUCAAAAGCCUGAUCUCUGGGUUCUACUCCACUCAUUUUAACUGAAAACACCACUCAGGUCCAAAGGAUAGUAAUGAAUCUUUCUUUCCUUUCUUUUCUUUCUUUACAUUAUUUUCUUUCUUUACAUUAUUUUAUUUCUUUACAGCCUUUUAUUUCUUUACACUCUUUCUUUCUUCCUUCCUUCGUUUCUUUCUUUCUUUCUUUCUUUUCUUUCUUUUCUCUUCUUUCUUCACGCAGGUACAAAGGACAGAGUAUAUUUCUUCACUCAGGUUCAGAGGACAGAAUAAUGAAUCUUCUUUCUUUCCUUCUUUCUUCCUUCCUUCCUUCUUUCCUUCCUUCCUUCCCUUUUCUUUCUUUCUUUCCUUUCUUCCUUCCUGUCUGUCUUUUUUUCUUUCUUUCUUUCUUUCUUUCUUUCUUUCCUUUCUUCCUUCCUGUCUUUCUUUUCUUUCUUUCUUUCUUUCUUUUCUUUUCUUUUCUUUUCUCUCUUCACGCAGGUACAAAGGACAGGGUAUUUUUCUUCACUCAGGUUCAGAGGACAGAAUAAUGAAUCUUUCUUUCCUUCUUUCUUCCUUCUUCCCCUCCUUCCUUCUUUCCUUCCUUCCUUUUUCUUUCUUUCUUUCCUUUCUUCCUUCCUUCCUGUCUUUCUUUCUUUGUCUGUCUUUCUUUCUUUCUUUCCUUUCUUCCUUCCUUCCUCUCCCUCUCUUCUUUCUUUCUUUCCUUCCUUCUUUCUUUCCUUCUUUCUUUCCUCUUUCUUUCUUUCCUCUUUCUUUCCUUCCUUCCUUCCUUCCUUCCUUUCUUUCUCUCUUUCUCUCUUUCUUUCUUACUUUCUUUCUUCAUUUUUGGAACUGGGCCAUCUUCCAAACUUCUCACAUAGCCCCUUACUCUGCUCUUCCUAUGGACAGCUGAGAAUCAUUUUCUAACUUUAUCAAAUAUGCUCCCUCCUCUUAAGAUAGCCUGCCCUGGCUGCUUCCUAUGUCUCUUGCAGUCUGACCAGGCGCUGUAGGGAAGAGGCCCAAAUGCACCCACCUGGCCCAGAUAUCCAGAGGCCAAGGCCACGGUCCUGCACCACAGCGUGAGAGUUCUUCUUUGCAGUGCCUACAAACCUAUGCUUGCCCCCAAACUCGCUCAGGGGUAACGGGGUUGGGGAAAGAGUGGAAGGUCAAACAGAGACCCUCUUGGAAUCUGUUCCCUUCAUUAACUUUGGAAUUCCACAGGCCAGUGUUUUCUCAAGGCUUGUUACACUGAAUACUCCCCCAGGAGGAGGGGGCUGCAAUCUUCAUACCCACAGGCUCUAGCUGGGAAAGCCAGGAGACAGCUUCAUGGGGUGAGGUCAGCCACCGCCCGCCCAGCCCCCAGGUGGAGGAACUAACAUUUAGAGAGCAAACACUAGAUAGCUAGCAUUAGAGUAACAAAUAGAUUCAGAGGUGUUAUGGUUUGCAGAUGAAGAAAGUGAGGCUCAGAGAGAUUAAAACACUUGAGCACAUUGGGGCCUGUGGGUCGGGGGCGGGGGGGGGGAGGAAAGGCAUCAGGAAAAAUAGCUAAUGCAUGCUGGGCUUAAUAUCUAGGUGAUGGGGUGAUAGAUGCAGCAAAUCACAUGGCACACGUCUACCAUGUAACAAACCUGCACAUCCUGCACAUGUACCCCAGAACUUAAAAUAAAAUAAAUACAUACAUAAUAAAAAUAAAAUAAAAUCCCUUAUACAGAAAAAAAUAAAAAUAAAAACUUGAGCAAGAUCACACAGCAGGUAUAAAACAGCAGAGCUUCAAAACAGAUUUAGUUUUGUUCUAAAAACCACACUCUUCAAAUAAUUGUAGCUAUCAGUCAAAGAGGGCCAAGAUUUCAUGACACAACCACUCUUGAGGCAGGACGCUGAGUGACUGCCCCUGGAGCCCAGGCCUGCUGGACCAAAAGCCCACUCAAGUUAGCAUUGAGGCCUGUGUGUAAUUCAGGGAUGGAACAGUGUGUCCAAUACUGUUCUAAACUGACUUCCCAAAACUGUCACCGAGACCACUCCUUGUCAAUGCAGCACCCCCUGCCAAAAUGCACAUGCCUUUACGUUUUACCAUGUAUGGAUAUCAGAGCCUAGGACAUAGUAAGCCCUCAGUAAAUGUCUGCUGAAUGAACAGUAAGGAAACUAGCCAUGUGAAGGCCAUCUUCUAAGUUUUCUGUAAAAUCCUAAUGAAAGCACUGCGCAUAUACUGCUUAACAAGUCUCACAGAAAUAUUGCAUCUUGUAACAAUUUUUUUUUCAAUGUUUAUGAUCCAGGAGGAGUUUCUGCCUUUGAAAGACAAACAUGUUUCCUUUAUUUAGGCCAAGGACAAACUACAGCCUAAAGGCCUAUUGCCAGUUCUUGUAAAUAAAGUUUUAUUGGCACACAGCCACACCCACUCAUUUACAUAUUAUCUAUGGCUACUUUCCAGAUACAAAGGCAGAACUGACAAGCAGUACAGAGCUGUGUGGCCUGCAAAGCUGAAAACAUUUGUCACCUAACCCUUGAUAUAAAAAGUUUGCCAAUCUUUACUUUAGAUACAAAUAUAACCUACUUAGCAUGUUGUGCUAAUUAGGAAGCUCAGAGCUAAACGUAAUGUUAAAUUUUAGUAACUCACUCAUCUUCAAUAUUUUUUAUACCUUUAUGCCUAUAUGCUUUGACCUUCUAAUCCCAUUUUAAAAUUUUAUUUAAAAAAAACUAGUAUUCCCUGAGUACAUAUUAUAUGCCUGGCACUGAAUGAAACCUUUUAAUAUGUUCUCUUAUUUAAUUCUCAUAAUAAACUCAUGGGGUAGGUAAUAUUAUCUUUUAUUUAUUUAUUUAUUUAUUUGGGAGAUGGAGUCUCAGUUUGUCACGCAGGCUGGAGUGCAGUGGUGCAAUCUCGGCUCACUGCAACCUCCGCCUCCCAGAUUCAAAUGAUUCUCCUGCCUCAGCCUCCUGAGUAGCUGGGAUUACAGGCGCAUGCCACCACACCCAGCUAAUUUUUCUAUUUUUAGUAGUGAUGGGGUUUCGCUAUGUUGGUUAGGCUGGUCUUGAACUCCUGACCUCAGGUGAUCUGCCCACCUCGGCCUCCCAAAGUGCUGGGAUUACAUGUGUGAGCCACUGUGCUCAGCCCUUAUCUUCAAUUUAUUGAGACUAAAUGAAUGAAAUGAAUACAUGAAUAAGUCACCAAUUGAUUGCAUAGUGGAAAUAUUUACUAUUUCAUAAUUCAAUCCCAGAGAAUAAUUAACUCAGGAAUUGACUGAAAAACUUUGGGUGCUCAAUGAACAUAACAGGCAGGGCUGAGAUAGUAACUGCAGGCAAUUUGAGCCAAAUUAUAGGAUUGUAAAGUGCUAUCGUUCUGGGAUCCUUAUUGUUUUCAAUCUAGCUUCAGACCAAGCCGGCCAGUCACUUCAUCAUGAAUCUUCAGGAUUUGGGGAGAAUCAGCAGACAUGACACAGAGCUACUACUCAAGUCACAGGCUCAGACACUGCCUCCAGUGGCGUGGCCAGAGCCACACAGCCAGAGUACCGCAAAUAGAAACAAUUACCGGUGCCCCAAUGUAGUCCUCUUCAGGAGGACUAGGUCCACAUGUCACUAAUAGUAUUUUUGAAAAGUUGACCUUUUCUUAAGUACCAACAUCCUAAGCAGUAUCAUCUGCAAAACCACAGGUCGCACAUACCAAUUGUUGCCUUUUUCUAAUUUGAGUUAAACACAAAACAAUUUUUUUAUUCUUAUCUAUAACAUGAAAUCAUCUUGCAUUGCUCAUCAGCACGCUUUGGAAAACACUGGCUGGACAGGAGUAGGGGUGUCAAGGCUGACAGAUGGGACUGCAAACACCAGCUUCUCUGCUCUCUCCAUCAGUAACCGUGGCAGCUUUCUGGAUCUCACUGAACCUCAGUUUGUUCAUAUGCAUAAGGAGGAGACACAUUCUCCUUGCCAGAUUAGAAGGUGAACUGGCACAUUCCAGGUAUUCAUACACACCAGCUGUUAAGCAACCUUGGGCUGUUCACCGAAGAACCCCUGGAGAUGAUCAAGUCACAGCCUUUCCCUCAUUGCCACCCUGGGUAGACCAUCAGAGGCUCCAGGCACCCCGUGGGGAACAGGUCCAAGAUGCCAGGCCAUCUCCAGGAACCUGGCCAGGAUGUCAGUGUAGGUGGCAGGGCAGCCCGUACGACUAGAGAGUGUGCUGUCAAUAAUUCCAGGAGCCCAUCAAGUGAAAACAACACAGGUUGGGACUGCUGUAGCGGCAGUCAGGGAUAACAGGGCUCUUCUAAGUGGCUGAAAGCAGGCUUGUGACAUGAAAUCAGAACAGCAAGCUCCUGCACCACGAGUAGAAAUGCAAACUGUUCAGGCAAAAGUCCAGGGAAAACUGGGAGAGCCAGCCUUGUAUGCAUGAUGCACCAGCAGCACCAGCACCCACCAUCUAACUGAUGAGUGUGCGAGCCACUAGGCCUGGCUUGCCCAGCUACAUCCUCGUAUACACCUGUCAUCCCAGAGUAAGUGAUACAGUGCCCCUUUCACUCUCAAGUCUCCAGGCUGAGAAGAGAAAUUAGCCAGCUUCUCUAUGAAUGAAUGUACUAAGGCCCAAAAAGCAGAGGUAGUUUGCCCAAGGUCACAGUCACCAGUGGCCAAGAAGGGAGAAUGUGCAUCUCUCAGCUCCAGGCAAUGUUGUGCAGUGGCUUUGGAGUCAGACAGGGCUGUCCAAAUGCUG
rnacentral:lncRNA from 1 species